rnacentral:rRNA from 1 species
UACGAAGGGGGCUAGCGUUGCUCGGAAUCACUGGGCGUAAAGGGCGCGUAGGCGGCCAUUCAAGUCGGAGGUGAAAGCCUAGGGCUCAACCCUGGAAUUGCCUUCGAUACUGUCUGGCUAGAGACCGGAAGAGGUAAGUGGAACUGCGAGUGUAGAGGUGAAAUUCGUAGAUAUUCGCAAGAACACCAGUGGCGAAGGCGGCUUACUGGUCCGGUUCUGGACGCUGAGGCGGCGAAAAGCGUGGGGAGCAAACAGG